AGCAGCGUGGCCUAGUGGACAGAGCAUGGGCCUGAGAAUCAGCAGGAUCUGGGUUCUAAUCCCAGCUCUGCCA
rnacentral:tRNA from 1 species